UUAAGCAUAUCUGGCACAAUGCCACAGAGGUAUGUAUGUUUUCUUAAUGAUGUGUUCCAAGAUAGGAUUUGAUCAUUGGUAUAUAUGGGUAUUGAGGGUUCUUAAGAGUUGCAUUUCAUGCAGAAAGUCACAUAGACAAAGCCAUGGACAACAUUCAGAAUUUUCCUCACAGCAACAGCUAUCAGACCCAUACAAUGCUGGCAUCCUACUGCUGACACAAGGAAAUUGGUGAUAUGGAUUGGAAAGAAACUGCAUGUAUACACUAUUGUAGACUUCUGGCAUAUAUUGUCUUUUUAAGAGCACUCCCCUUUCAAGAGGAUCAAAGGCUUCCAUGUGCUUAUUUUGGGUGAGGAAAAGAACCGAGAACCAGAGAUCUUGGCUUGAGACCGUUCACAUACCAGGAGAAAAUACUGCAUUUAUACAGCAAGUUUUGUUCUGAAGGAUACUGAAGAACCUCAGAAAUGUAGUCACCUCUGAAGUAGAGGACGGCAGUGAGGCUGGCAAUGGGUACUAAGUACAUGUGUCAUGGUAUAAUUCCCCACUCUGAACCUUCGUGUCCAAAAGAUGGGGUACCAGCAUGAAUUCCUCUAAGCUCAAUUACCAGCUUAGUACUUGUAGCGCUGCCACCAACCAGGAAU